AACAUCGCGCACCUGCGGGAACCUGCGGAGGGAUCAUUACAGAGUUGCAAAACUCCCUAAACCAUCGUGAACGUUACCUAAACCGUUGCUUCGGCGGGCGGCCCGGGUCCUUCCCGGCGCCCCUCGGCCCUCGCGGGCGCCCGCCGGAGGUAAACCAAACUAUUGCAUUGUAUGGCCUCUCUGAGUCUUCUGUACUGAAUAAGUCAAAACUUUUAGCAACGGAUCUCAGAUCGGAAGAGC
rnacentral:misc_RNA from 1 species